UGUCUGGUUCGCGGCGGAGGGUGAGUAAUGCCUAGGAAUCUGCCUGGUAGUGGGGGACAACGUUUCGAAAGGAACGCUAAUACCGCAUACGUCCUACGGGAGAAAGCAGGGGACCUUCGGGCCUUGCGCUAUCAGAUGAGCCUAGGUCGGAUUAGCUAGUUGGUGAGGUAAUGGCUCACCAAGGCGACGAUCCGUAACUGGUCUGAGAGGAUGAUCAGUCACACUGGAACUGAGACACGGUCCAGACUCCUACGGGAGGCAGCAGUGGGGAAUAUUGGACAAUGGGCGAAAGCCUGAUCCAGCCAUGCCGCGUGUGUGAAGAAGGUCUUCGGAUUGUAAAGCACUUUAAGUUGGGAGGAAGGGCAGUAAAUUAAUACUUUGCUGUUUUGACGUUACCGACAGAAUAAGCACCGGCUAACUCUGUGCCAGCAGCCGCGGUAAUACAGAGGGUGCAAGCGUUAAUCGGAAUUACUGGGCGUAAAGCGCGCGUAGGUGGUUUGUUAAGUUGGAUGUGAAAUCCCCGGGCUCAACCUGGGAACUGCAUUCAAAACUGACAAGCUAGAGUAUGGUAGAGGGUGGUGGAAUUUCCUGUGUAGCGGUGAAAUGCGUAGAUAUAGGAAGGAACACCAGUGGCGAAGGCGACCACCUGGACUGAUACUGACACUGAGGUGCGAAAGCGUGGCGAGCAAACAGGAUUAGAUACCCUGGUAGUCCACGCCGUAAACGAUGUCAACUAGCCGUUGGGAGCCUUGAGCUCUUAGUGGCGCAGCUAACGCAUUAAGUUGACCGCCUGGAGAGUACGGCCGCAGGUAAAACUCAAAUGAAUUGACGGUGCCCGCACAAGCGGUGGAGCAUGUGGGUUAUUUCGAAGCAACGCGAAGAACCUUACAGGCUGACAUCAAUGACUUUCCAGAGAUGGAUUGGUGCCUUCGGUACUUGAGACAGGUCCUGCAUGGCUGUCGUCAGCUCGUGUCGUGAG
rnacentral:rRNA from 1 species